rnacentral:rRNA from 1 species
UACGUAGGGGGCAAGCGUUGUCCGGAAUUAUUGGGCGUAAAGAGCACGUAGGCGGUUAGAUAAGUUGGAUGUGAAAGGCUACGGCUCAACCGUAGAGCGGCAUCCAAAACUGUUUAACUUGAGUGCAGCAGAGGAGAGUGGAAUUCCCGGUGUAGCGGUGGAAUGCGUAGAGAUCGGGAGGAACACCAGUGGCGAAGGCGACUCUCUGGGCUGUAACGUGACGCUGAGGUGCGAAAGCGUGGGGAGCGAACAGG